GACAGCCUCAGCUGUGGAGUGGAGCUUGUUGUUUGUGUCUCCGUGUGAAGAAAUUUGUAUCAAUGCAUUCCUAUGGGUGGAGACAGAAACACACACCGAAAAAGAGCUCAGAGCAAGAAUAAAAGAGGAGGAGACAGGAUCAGAGUGGCACAGUGGAGCUUAUUGUCGGUGUCUCUGUGUGAAGAAACUGUGAAGGUAGAAAGUGUGUGUGAGCUGAUGUGAAUUGAGCAGCAUGGAUC